rnacentral:snRNA from 2 species
ACACCUUUUGGCUAAGAUCAUGUGUAGUAUCUGUUCUUGUCAGUUUAAUAUCUGCUACGUGGGCCAUUGGGCCACAUGAUAUUAAAUUAAUUUUUUUAGGGGAGAGCCCAUAACAGUAGCUUGCUGCUGGGGUUCUCACGCGUCGCCCAAGCGUUGCCCUACUGCUUGGGCCUGGCGCACCCCAC